rnacentral:rRNA from 1 species
AACGAACGCUGGCGGCAUGCCUAACACAUGCAAGUCGAACGAGACCUUCUGGUCUAGUUGCGCACGGGUGCGUAACGCGUGGGAACCUUCCCUUAGGUUCGGAAUAACUCCCCGAAAGGGGUUCUAAUACCGGAUAAUGUCUUCGGACCAAAGAUUUAUCGCCUUUGGUUGGGCCCGCGUUGGAUUAUCUAGUUGUUAGGGUAAAAGCCUAACAAGGCGACGAUCCAUAGCUGGUCUGAGAGGAUGAUCAGCCACACUGGGACUGAGACACGGCCGAGACUAAUACGGGAGGGAGGAGUGGGGAAUAUUGGAAAAGGGGAGAAAGCCAGAUAGAGCAAUGGCGGGUGAGUGAUGAAGGGAUUAGGGUUGAAAAGCUGUUUUAGAAGGGAAGAUAAUGACAGUACCGGGAGAAUAAGCACCGGCUAACUCCGUG